GAUCUGUGCGGCGGGAAGAUGCUAGUUAUUCUCGAGGGCGGUUACAAUCUUCGAUCAAUAUCUUCUUCUGCUACAUCAGUGAUGAAGGUGCUUAUGGGUGAAUCCAGAGAACGAGUUGCCUAUA